AGGGAAUUUUCGGCAAUGGGGGAAACCCUGACCGAGCAACGCCGCGUGAAGGAAGAAGUAAUUCGUUAUGUAAACUUCUGUCAUAGAGGAAGAACGGUGGAUAUAGGGAAUGAUAUCCAAGUGACGGUACUCUAUAAGAAAGCCACGGCUAACUACGUGCCAGCAGCCGCGGUAAUACGUAGGUGGCGAGCGUUAUCCGGAAUUAUUGGGCGUAAAGAGGGAGCAGGCGGCACUAAGGGUCUGUGGUGAAAGAUCGAAGCUUAACUUCGGUAAGCCAUGGAAACCGUAGAGCUAGAGUGUGUGAGAGGAUCGUGGAAUUCCAUGUGUAGCGGUGAAAUGCGUAGAUAUAUGGAGGAACACCAGUGGCGAAGGCGACGAUCUGGCGCAUAACUGACGCUCAGUCCCGAAAGCGUGGGGAGCAAAUAGGAUUAGAUACCCUAGUAGUCCACGCCGUAAACGAUGAGUACUAAGUGUUGGGGGUCAAACCUCAGUGCUGCAGUUAACGCAAUAAGUACUCCGCCUGAGUAGUACGUUCGCAAGAAUGAAACUCAAAGGAAUUGACGGGGGCCCGCACAAGCGGUGGAGCAUGUGGUUUAAUUCGAAGCAACGCGAAGAACCUUACCAGGUCUUGACAUCGAUCUAAAGGCUCCAGAGAUGGAGAGAUAGCUAUAGAGAAGACAGGUGGUGCAUGGUUGUCGUCAGCUCGUGUCGUGAGAUGUUGGGUUAAGUCCCGCAACGAGCGCAACCCCUGUUGCCAGUUGCCAGCAUUAAGUUGGGGACUCUGGCGAGACUGCCGGUGACAAGCCGGAGGAAGGCGGGGAUGACGUCAAAUCAUCAUGCCCCUUAUGACCUGGGCUACACACGUGCUACAAUGGACAGAGCAGAGGGAAGCGAAGCCGCGAGGUGGAGCGAAACCCAUAAAACUGUUCUCAGUUCGGACUGCAGUCUGCAACUCGACUGCACGAAGAUGGAAUCGCUAGUAAUCGCGAAUCAGCAUGUCGCGGUGAAUACGUUCUCG
rnacentral:rRNA from 2 species